UACGAAGGGGGCUAGCGUUGUUCGGAUUUACUGGGCGUAAAGCGCACGUAGGCGGAUCGUUAAGUCAGGGGUGAAAUCCUGGAGCUCAACUCCAGAACUGCCUUUGAUACUGGCGAUCUUGAGUCCGGAAGAGGUGAGUGGAACUCCUAGUGUAGAGGUGGAAUUCGUAGAUAUUGGGAAGAACACCGGUGGCGAAGGCGGCGACCUGGUCCGUGACUGACGCUGAGGCGCGAAAGCGUGGGGAGCAAACAGG
rnacentral:rRNA from 1 species